AACCUUUGCUGUCUUGGGACGGAUCACCGCUGCAAGAGGGGAAGUUGCUACUGUGAUGAAUUCUGCCAUGUGGCACCAGACUGCCACCCAGACCACAGUGUCCUCUGCAACCCUGCUUCUCAGAUGACCAAGAUGGUGCUGCAGAUGGUGCUGAGGAUGGAGAACCCACCAAGCCCCGCUAGGAGCCACCUAGACUGGAUGCAGAGCAUGGCCCCAGCACCCGCAGAGCAGACACUGCGAUGACAACGGACGACACAGAAGUGCCCGCUAUGACUCUAGCACCGGGCCACGCCGCUCUGGAAACUCAAACACUGAGCGCUGAGACCUCUUCUAGGGCCUCAACCCCAGCCGGCCCCGUUCCAGAAGCAGAGACCAGGGGAUCCAAGAGAAUUUCCCCUGCAAGAGAGACCAGGAGUUUCACAAAAACAUCUCCCAACUUCAUGGUGCUGAUCGCCACCUCCGUGGAGACAUCAGCCGCCAGUGGCAGCCCCGAGGGAGCUGGAAUGACCACAGUUCAGACCAUCACAGGCAGUGAUCCCGAGGAAGCCAUCUUUGACACCCUUUGCACCGAUGACAGCUCUGAAGAGGCAAAGACACUCACAAUGGACAUAUUGACAUUGGCUCACACCUCCACAGAAGCUAAGGGCCUGUCCUCAGAGAGCAGUGCCUCUUCCGACGGCCCCCAUCCAGUCAUCACCCCGUCACGGGCCUCAGAGAG
rnacentral:misc_RNA from 1 species